AUUGAUUAUGACAGGCAGUACCUUUUCUAAAUGCACACUGCAUUGUGCUUUUCCAACAGAGAAACAGUACUACACAAAGAUGCUAAGACAUAGCCACCCACAUGGAAUGAAUUUUAAAGCUGCCUGGGAUGGAUUAUUGAAGGACGCCAUUAGGAACCUCUACAAGUGCAAUGCAAGGUGGACUAAAAUUACCCUCUGUGUGACCCUGUGUAGUGCCCUGAGAUGAAUCUGAGGCUUUAAUGAUCUGAGGCAAGUGGGCUGGGACAGCAGAUGUGCUUCUCAGUGAAGGAUUGCCAGAUGAGGCCGUGUUUGCGAGGAGAGCCCAGCGACGUAAACUUUCCUCCUUGUUUUUCUGUUGGGUUUUUAACUUUCUUUUCCAUCAAACUUUGUUGAACAGUGUUAAAAAGAGUGUUUGCUGGCUGUGCAAUUAUCCCCUGACCAGUGCAACACAAAGCGCGACUGAAGUGUCUUUUGUCUUGAAUUAAGCAGCUAAUUAUAAACCGAACAAGCGUAUUAAACGACGUGGGUCACCAGGAAAGGCCAAUCCAAGUAAUUACAGCAGGCAAAAUAGGAGCCAAUGAAGGGAGGGGAGAAAAAAAGUGAGGGGGAAAAGCUCCAGCUCACGCAGGCUUUAAAGCAUUUUGUGUCCUUCGUUUUUUGGAGUGGAUUUCUG
rnacentral:lncRNA from 1 species